AGCCCGCACCAAAAUAGUGCUUUACCCCUAGAUGUCCUGUCAACUGCUGCGCCUCAACGCAUUUCGGGGAGACUGUUUUGGUGCGGGCUGCACGAGCUUAGGUGGAAGGCGAAGAAGGCCCCUUCCGGGGGGCCCGAGCCAUCAGUGAGAAACCACUCUGGAAGAGCUCGGAUUCUAACCUUGUGUCAGACCCGCGGGCCAAGGGACAGUCUCAGGUAGACAGUUUCUAUGGGGCAUAGGCCUCCUAAAAGGUAACGGAGGCGUGCAAAGGUUUCCUCGGGCCAGACGGACAUUGGUCCUCGAGUGCAAAGGCAGAAGGGAGCUUGACUGCAAGACUCACCCGUCGAGCAGAGACGAAAGUCGGCCUUAGUGACCUGAUGGUGCCGAGUGGAAGGGCCGUCGCUCAACGGAAAAAAGGUACUCUAGGGAUAACAUGCAGAUCUUCCCCAAGAGUCCACAUCGACGGGAAGGUUUGGCACCUCGAUGUCGGCUCUUCGCCACCUGGAGCUGUAGGUGGUUCCAAGGGUUAGGCUAUUCGCCCAUUAAUGCGGUACGUGAGUUGGGUUUAGAAUGUCGUGAGACAGUUCGGUCCAUAUCCGGUGUGGGCGUUAGAGCAUUGAGAGGACCUUUCCCUAGUACGAGAGGGCCGGGAAGGACGCACCUUUGGUGUACCAGUUAUCGUGCCUACGGUAAAUGCUGGGUAGCCAAGUGCGGAGAGGAUAACUGCUGAAAGCAUAUAAGUAGUAAGCCCACCCCAAGAUGAGUGCUCUCUCCUCUGACUUCCGUAGAGCCUCCGGUAUCACAGCCGAGACAGCGACGGGUUCUCCACCCAUACGGGGAUGGAGCAACAAAAGUAUGGAAAUAGGAUAAGGUAGCGGCGAGACAAGCCGUUUAAAUAGGUGUCAAGUGGAAGUGUAGUGAUGUAUGCAGCUGAGGCAUCCUAACGAACGAA
rnacentral:ncRNA from 1 species